GAGUCAGCAGCAGCCACGGGAAUACGGAGGGAGCCAGCGUUGUUCGGAAUUACUGGGCGUAAAGCGCACGUAGGCGGUUAUUCAAGUCAGAGGUGAAAGCCCGGGGCUCAACCCCGGAACUGCCUUUGAAACUAGAUGACUGGAAUCUUGGAGAGGUCAGUGGAAUUCCGAGUGUAGAGGUGAAAUUCGUAGAUAUUCGGAAGAACACCAGUGGCGAAGGCGACUGACUGGACAAGUAUUGACGCUGAGGUGCGAAAGCGUGGGGAGCAAACAGGAUUAGAUACCCCAGUAGUCCCUGUCUCUUAUAC
rnacentral:rRNA from 1 species